rnacentral:rRNA from 1 species
GACGAACGCUGGCGGCAUGCCUAACACAUGCAAGUCGAGCGAGCAGAUCCCUUCGGGGUGAAGCUAGCGGCGGACGGGCGAGUAACCCGUGGGCAACCUGCCUCAUAGAGGGGAAUAGCUUUCCGAAAGGAAGAUUAAUACCGCAUAAGUUUGUCGCUUCGCACGCAGAAACAAUUAAAGGAGCAAUCAGCUAUGAGAUGGGCCCGCGGCGCAUUAGCUAGUUGGUGAGGUAACGGCUCACCAAGGCGACGAUGCGGAGCCGACCUGAGAGGGUGAUCGGCCACAUUGAGACUGAGACACGGCCCAGACUCCUACGGGAGGCAGCAGUGGGGAAUAUUGCACAAUGGGGGAAACCCUGAUGCAGCAAUGCCGCGUGAGUGAUGACGGCCUUCGGGUUGUAAAGCUCUGUCUUCGGGGACGAUAAUGACGGUACCCGAGGAGGAAGCCACGGCUAACUACGUGCCAGCCGCCGCAGUAA